GACGUAGGGCGCGAGCGUUGUCCGGAUUUAUUGGGCGUAAAGAGCUCGUAGGCGGCUUGUUGCGUCGACUGUGAAAACCCGCGGCUUAACUGCGGGCUUGCAGUUGAUACGGGCAGGCUAGAGUUCGGUAGGGGGAGACUGGAAUUCCCGGUGUAGUGGUGAAAUGCGUAGAUAUCGGGAGGAACACCAGUGGCGAAGGCGGCUUCCUGGCCUGUUCUUGACGCUGAGGCGCGAAAAGCUAGGGGGAGCAAACGGGG
rnacentral:rRNA from 1 species